AACGAACGCUGGCGGCAGGCUUAACACAUGCAAGUCGAACGCUCCGCAAGGAGAGUGGCAGACGGGUGAGUAACACGUGGGAACGUACCCUUUACUACGGAACAACUCCGGGAAACUGGAGCUAGUACCGUAUGUGCCCUUUGGGGGAAAGAUUUAUCGGUAAAGGAUCGGCCCGCGUUGGAUUAGCUAGUUGGUGGGGUAAAGGCCUACCAAGGCGACGAUCCAUAGCUGGUCUGAGAGGAUGAUCAGCCACAUUGGGACUGAGACACGGCCCAAACUCCUACGGGAGGCAGCAGUGGGGGAUAUUGGACAAUGGGCGCAAGCCUGAUCCAGCCAUGCCGCGUGUGUGAUGAAGGCCUUAGGGUUGUAAAGCACUUUCACCGGAGAAGAUAAUGACGGUAUCCGGAGAAGAAGCCCCGGCUAACUUCGUGCCAGCCGCCGCGGUAAGAC
rnacentral:rRNA from 1 species